CUAAAAACCUAGCCCCCACUUACAAUAAACCCCACUUAACCCUCCAAACUAAAAUAUUUUAAUGAUCUAGUAAAGAAGAUUGAAAAAUCCUACAGAGCAAUAAUUAUGUACCGCAAGGGAAAAUUGAAAUAACAAUGAAACACAAUAAAGCACAGAAUAGUAGAGACUUCCCCUU
rnacentral:rRNA from 1 species